rnacentral:lncRNA from 1 species
GAGACAGUUUAGGUUGCCAGACAAUGUGGAUUUGGACUCUGUCAAGGCGAAGCUUGAGAAUGGCGUUCUUACCUUAUCUUUAAACAAAUUGUCUCCUGAUAAGAUCAAGGGUCCUAGGGUUGUUAGCAUUGCAGGAGAAGAAGAGAAACCUGAACCAGUCAAGCUCAACAGUAAUAAUGCCAAACAAGAGCUGUGAAUCUUUUACCAUGUGGAGAGCUGUUUACAAUACAUAAAAAGAGAUCCGUCACCUUGUUUUAGAGAGAAUAAGGGUUGUCAUCAGAUCUUGUAAACUGUAUUCCGCUUGUGCUGCAGUGUGUUGUUGAUGAAAUAUUUUCAUAAUCUAAAAUAAGCUUCAUUUAUCAUUCUCUGAAUGGCAUGUUUAAUUUCUGUAGCUUCUAACUUUUACAUGUUUGCCUAGCAAAUGUUGAGCUGUGAGCAGGAUCCACAUAUUGCAACAACGAGAAAAGUCUCAUCUCCGAAACUUCAUAUAGGAUGUGCAUUAUUUUCUCCAUCCUGAUAGGCUCAGUACAUCUGAUGUGAUUAAGCUACAAAAAAAUGGGGGUCUAGGAUUCUACUGCUAGUGAACAGCAUCAGCAGGGUCUUAACUAUCAAACAGAAUUAAAGGGCAUCAACCAAAAGGACUGAAUUUUGGAAACAGUAUUUCAUGAUCAAAAGACCCCGUGUCUCUAAUGAUUCGUUUGAGAGAUUAUGUAAUCCCUAUUUUACCAGGUCAAUGGUUGGAUAUGUCCAUUUCUGAAAGUAGUGCAGGCAAGUGCUUAAUCUGACAUCAUCAAUCCUCUAGCCUUCCUACGUUUGUCUCUGGCAUGCCUAGAACACCACCACAUGUCAUGCACUACACGACUCCUUGGACCCAAGUCUGUGCAUUUGUUGCUGCUGGAAGAUGUACAUUGCUAGGACGCCAUGAAUUCAACACCACCUACUGUCAGUUGUUCACAGAACAUAAAUGACCUUAAUGUGUGGUGGCAGCAGCUACAUUGACCAAAUAUAACAUGCCUCCGUGAUCAUGCCACUGAGUUGCUGAUAAGCAAAAUUACAUGUCUCCCAAACUCCUGCCUAAAUUUAGGCUUCCAAGAGCACAAGAAGUUUCAAUGACCCACAAAAAGCUUUUGCAAGAUGUGAGCAAGUCCACUCUGAAAAGGCUUAUGAAAUAAUAAAAUUGAGCAGCAGAGUACUUAUUUCAGUGUUUUAGAAAUGCUUCAGCAUGUAUAUUGAAAUGUUCUUAACACUAAUCAUAAGCCUCAGAGACUACCUGUCAAAUCAAGAUUAACUAUAUUUCUUACAUGUUAUAAGGAAAUAAGAAAUUAGUUCCUUUCGCAGCAUAUUUACUAUAAAUAUCAUAAUAUCAUCUUUAAUUCAGGUUCUUUUCCUUUCGAUCCUUUUUAUGAUUUAAUUCAAGAAAAAUGCAAAAGGAAAGAAAAAACAAGAAGGAACGAAGGAUAAAAGGGACACCUUUAGGUAGAUCCUCCUCAUAAUGGUUUGAUGUGGAGUUACGAACUAUUGUACUACUAGAAGAAAAUCAAAACUUCCAGUGAUAAAGCUACCAAUACUAAUCUCGGAGUAGCAGGGAAUUGUGGAGGUGGACGAUUAAGAGGAGAAGCGGUAGUCACCCCGGUCACCAACAUGUUCUACUUCUCUUCUUAAAAAGCAACACACACAAAAUCUCUACUUAUCAAACAGCAACUAACAUCUCAGCAGUUAAUACUGCAACCAGUAAUGACAGCUCUGUCUUGCUUGCCGCAGUUAAAAACUUGCUCAAGAGGGAUUGGUGCAUCAACGUCAAACAUAUAUUCGCAUCUCUUGCUUGGUCAUGCGACGAGAUUAGACUUUGUUUUGCUCUGUUUUGGACUAGUCCCAGUCUUUUUCCACCCAAAAACAAAAUUCAGGAUACAUGUUUUUGCCCCUUCAAAGGUUCCUCAAAGUAUAACCAUAAUAGUUUAGCAGAACUAGCCUGAGGAAAUAUGCUUAAAAACAAUUCUUAAACAAGAGUUUCCGGCUAAAAGAACUUCAGAAAAUUAUUGCUUUUAUGAUCUAUGCAUCAAAUACAUGAAAGUGCAUAAGGCCACUGCACGUUAUAAUGUCUGCCACUUAAACAUACUACAAAUUAUUGUGAACUGAUCUGAUGAAGACACAAUUUCAUAAGUCAUAAUUGUGAAAAAGAAACCUCAGUUCCCACUGUCACUAAAAUACCAGAAAAGGCACAGUUCUCCGUUUUAUGAAAUAAGCAUGUUGCAGAGUUGUGAUAAAGAUUCAAAUUUUACUAAACAUUUUAUUAAGUGCCAAGAUUCCAAAUAAAAACCGCAUCAAAAAUUGAUCAUAAAAAGAACUCAUUGCAACCACCAUGAAAAGCCACCUUUACAUAAUAUAUAUAUAUAUAUAUAUAUAUAUAUAAUCACCCAUCCACGUUGAGAAUAUAUGUUCGUGUGAGACAUUAUUAGCUGCGAAAUUUCAACUUCUAGAGAUUGCAAGCCGACUGACUCAGAUAAAACAGUGAGUAUCAAAACCACUGAAAAUAAUUAAUACCAAGAUUUCUCACAGUUCAAAUUUCUUUAUAUUUUUUCGGAUUACAUUCCCCAUCAUAGUUUCAAGCUCAUGACUUCAGAUUUCCAACCGAUCAAAGUUUUGAUAAUCCAAAAAAGAAGGUAAAGAAAUUAGCUCAUGGAAAACUUUACUUUUAACUUGUAAUCGCAAGAUUCAGUCAGAGACUAACAAAAAAAAAUUGAUAAACAGAAUGGAGGGACAGACGACAGAGUAGCUAAAUGGACUAAGGUGCAUCUGUAUAUCUCAUGAAACUGAACAAGAACCUGGUUAUGAGCUCAGAGUAUCCGACAGCAGAUACAUUGUCGUUUGCUGGGAUUUAUAUACAACCAAAAACUACAUAUCCUUAACAUAUAUUUCCAUGAAAUAAGUCCGAAAUGCAUCAGCAAGAAGUUUUCAUCUUUCACACAUCAUGUCCAAAGGAGGAGCUCAUGAGCAGCAAGCAAAAUUGACUAUGAGAAGAAGGAUAAGUCAAAUAUGACUUCAAGGUCAUUCAGUGUUCAAGACAUAGAUCACAAAAGAUAAGAAAGCAAAAAAAUCACCACCCAUUCCCCGAAGACAACUUUGACACAGCCAAAUGGAGAACAAUACCCUUGUUUGUGUUAAUAGUUAGUGUAUAUAUAUAUAUAUAUAUAUAGACACGAUGGUCACUCUUAAAGAUUUUCAGUAACAACCCGGGCACAUCAAGGACUCAAGAGACAUUCAAAAUGACAACUUCAUCUUCCUUUAAGAAGAACUGGAAUGGAUCCAUAUCUGUGGUACAUCACAGAUGAUGAAGUGACGUUGGACUUUAUUCCAUAAGAUAGCAAUCAAUUCCAUUCAAUUUUCCAAUAAGACCAGAAAGCAGAAUGACUCUGUUGAUGCUACUUUAUGUCCUCCCACCAUAAGAGGAGGAUAACCCACAAAAUGCUUAUACAACUAUUGGUCGAGAUAUUAUCAUAUCUGUUACAAAUCAGGAGGAUAAUUCACACCUAAAUUUCCCUUUCCUAUCAGUGACUGCCUGGAAGCUUACAGCAAGAAUGCACUCCAAAAGAAAUAAAUGAUGAGAAGAAAAAAAUAUGCCAAGAUGACACUGUACAAAUAAUCCAUCAAAAAUUUAAUUCCAUAGAUAUAAUAACAAAUUUUUGUGCAUAAGAAUGAAAACAGGUCACUCAUAGAAAAAUAUCAAAAUCUUUUUUCUAUAACUUCAAUUGUCCAAUCCGAUAAAAGCCAGCCAGUAAGUCUUGGAAUACAUGUAAAUCGCAGUAACGCUUCACAUAAAAUUAACAUCUAAAAUUCUUAUGUACCCUUGUUUUCGUUUUGAUUUUCCCUUCUUUAAAAUUCUUUUUGUCGAUUGUAAUCCAAAAGCAAAAAGGACGCAUGGACAAACUCAAGAAAAAAUAAAAUUCAGAAAGACAAGUUCAUAAAACGUGUUUAGAGCUAGGGUUUUUUCUUUUACUUAUUAAGCAUAUGAAAACGGAAUGUGUCUGGCCAACAAAAGCUGCUUUCUCCCCUCAGAAAAGAAAAGGCGCGAAGGAGUUGAGACUGGCACUUUACAUUGCCUUUUUCUCCGCGUAUUCAGAUUCUAAAUCCGAAACAGAUCUAAAUUUAUUGACCCGGAUAGGAAGUAUUGAUUCUAAAUUCACCAUUCAUACAUUCUAAAUUCACCAUUCAUACAUUCUAAAUUCACCACUGACGAAGAAGAACCGACAGACAGAGAUCUGAAAACAUAAGCCACAGCAACUUCGCGUUCUGGCAUCACACAAAGUUUUGCUUAUAUAGGCACUGGGCAGAGUCAACGCUGCGUUUGAUUUAAGCAGCAGUUCAUAGUCGGUGCUUUUAAUUUAGGCAAUUAUUAAUGCGGCGCGCGUAGACUGCACGUGAUAUUAAUAUGGUAUUGCGUUUGAUUCAAGCAGGUAAAAAACGGCAACGCCGUUGUAUCUAUACUGCAAGGCGUUUUAGUUCCCACAUCAUUAACCUGAUAAUGCAUUUUACUUUUACUCUAAAUGUUAAUUGACUUCAUUCUUUUUUCAGCCAAUUGAAUUUCAUUUUUACGUUCAUUAUGAGCAUUGUGUUUUUAGAGCAACAUGAGUGAAAAGUGCAACUUAAGAGAGUAUAAAAAGAAUAAUUAUAGCACUGAUAAAUCAUUCAUGUGCAAUGAAUCAUACCUUUUAUCUUUUCCCAUUAACUACAAAAGGAAAAUUAUGAAACCAAAAUGUGUAGGCAAGUGCUUAAUCAGACAUCACCAAUCCUCUAGCCUUCCUACGUUUUUUCUUGUGGCAUGCCUGGAACACCCCCACAGGACAUGCACUACACGACUCCUUGGACCCAACUCUGUGCAUUUGUUGCUGCUGGAAGAUGUACAUUGCUAGGAUGCCAUGCAUUCAACACCACCUUCUAUCUAUCGUUCGCAUAGCAUUAAUGACCUUAAUUUAUGGUGCCAGCAGCUGCAUUGACCAAAAUAUGACAUGCCCUGUUUUCAAUUAUGCAGACCUAAUUGAGAAUCAUAAUCAAAUUGAGCAGCAGAGUACUAAUUUCAGUGUUUUAGAAGGCCAGAUGGAGCUAGAAAUGCUUCAGCAUGUAUACUGAAAUGUUUCUUACCACUAUUCAUAAGCCUCAUUAGUUUCGCAGAGACUACCUGUCAUACCAAGAUUUCUUACAUGUCAUAAUGAAAUGUGAGUUAAAGAAAUUAGUUCCUUUCUCAACAUAUUUACCAUAAAUAUCAGCAUAUCAUCUUCAGACUGCACUUCCAAAUAAAUAGCUAACAACAAAUAUUAGUGAUAAAAUGAAAUACAUUAAUUAUAAUUAAAAAAUAGUUAUUGCAUAAUCAAUAUAUAAAUGGUGAAAAUUUCUGUGCUUUUAUAUCUUCUUGCGAUUCAUAGAGAGAUAUAUAACAAGGAAUUUAUAUGGAAUAAAACAUAAUCACCAAAUAUAAGGUGCAGAUAAAGCUGGGGAUUUUUGUGGGUAUACGGGAAGACAUCAAAAUCGGCCGACUACAUUCUUGCACCAAGUAUCAUAGCUGAGUAGUAAUGAAAGACUGAAGAAAGCAAGAACCCAUUAAAUAAGUGGCUAAUAGGGACUCAUUUCACUUGAAAGAAGUAAUACGGGCCAAAACAUAACAGCGAUUAGCAGACAUGAAACUAAGAAAAAAAAAAAUGCAAACAACAGCCAUCUCAGUAGUUAAUAGUGCAACCAGUAAUGGCAGCUCUGGUCUUGCUUGCUGCAGUUAAAACUUGCUCAACAAGGAUUGGUGCAUCAAUGUAAGCAUAUAUUCAGAGUCUUAACUCUUGUGCUCACUGGUCGGCGGGUCUCGCCUUUGGUAUGGAUUUUGGUCUUCAAGCUUUUGUUUGAACCUCCAGCUGGUAUAUUGGGCAUGCAACCCAAAAAGAUAGAAAUCAAGAAGCACGAGAUACUUCUCGAAGUUGGAGGCAAAUUCGCCGCUCCACGAAAAAACAUAGGGGUCGUCCCUGCUAGUUCUCCCACAAAGAGGUACUUUGGGUUGGGGAUUGGAUCUUUCAAGUCGAUCUCUCAGCACUUGGCAGAAAGAAGAGCGUAAGACUACUCUUUACUAUAGUAGAUCACAUCUCUUGCUUGUGAUGAGAUGGGUACAAGUUUCACUCAUGAUUAAGCUUUGUUUUGCUCUGUUUCGGACUUGUCCCAGUCUUUUCCCCCAAAAGAAAAAAAUUAAGGAUACAUGUUUCUGUCCUUGCAAAGGUUCAUCAAAGUACAUCCAAAAAGAAUUCUAAUAAUGCUUAAAAACAAUUCUUAAACAAGAGUUUCCCAGCCAAAAGAACUUCAGAAAAUUAUUGCUUUUAUGAUCUAUGCAUCAAAUACAUGAAAGUGCAUACAGCCACUGCACGUUAUAAUGUCUGCCACUUAAACAUAGUACAAAUUAUUGUGAACUGAUACGCUGAAAAUACAAUUUCAGAAGUCACAGUUGUGAAAGAGAAGCCUCAGUUCCCACCGUCACUAAAAUACCAGAAAAGGCACAGUUCUCUGUUUUAUGCAAUGAGCACGAUGCAGAGUUGUGCUUGAGAUUUAAAUUUUAAUUCACAUUUUAUUCAUAAAAACAGAAUCACAAACUGAUCAUAGAGAGAACUCAAUGCAACCUCCAUGAAAAGGCCACCUUUAUAUAUAUAUAUGUAUAUAUAUAUAUAUAUAUCCGUCGAGGAUAUAUGUCCAUGUGAGACAUAAUUAACUGCCGAAUUUUAACUUCUAGAGAUUGCAAGCCAACUAAAUCAGUGAAUAACGAAACCAGCACCAGAAUUUCUCACAAUUCAAAUUUCUUUACAAUUUCUCGAAUUAUAUUCCCCAUCAUAGUUUCAAUCUCAUGAUUUCAAAUUUUCAACGGAUCAAAGUUUAAAUAAUUCGAAACAAUGUAAAGAAAUUAGCUCAAUGCAAACGGGAUAAGCGAAUGGAGGGACAGCAGAUAGAGCAGCUAAAUGGACUAAAACUGUAUAUCUUAUGAAACGGGAUAAUACAUUUCCGUUCUCUAAGAUCUAAAUACACCCAAAGACUAUAUAUCGAAAACCUUGAUAUAUAUUUCCAUGAAAUAAGUCCGAAAUGCACCAGCAAGAAGUUUUCAUCUUUCACGCAUCAUGUCCACAAGAGGACCUUAUGAAUAGCAAGCAUAAUUGACUAUGAGGAGAAGGAUAAGACAAAUAUGACAUCAAGGUCAUUCAGUGUUCAAGACAUAGAUCAUAAAAGAUAAGAAAGCAAAAAAAUGACCAACCAUUCCUUAGAAGACAACUUAGACACAGCCAAAUGGAGAACAAGAGACAUUCAAAAUGACAACUUUACUUUCCUUUUUGAAGAAAAGAAAUGGAUACAUAUCUCUGGUAUAGUGAUAUUGGACUUUAUUCCAUAAAAGACUAAUCAAUUCCAUUCAAUUUUCCAACAAGACUAUAAAGCAUGAUGACUUUGUGCCGAUGCAAAAGAGGAGGAUAACUCACAAAAUGCUUAUACAACUAUUGGUCGAGAUCAUGUCUUUUAUAAAUUAGGAGGAUAAUUCACACCUAAAUUUCCCUUUCUUAUCGGUCAGUGCCUGGAUGCUUGCAGCAAAAAUGCAAUCUAAAAGAAAUAAACAAUAAGAAGAAAAAAAUACCAAAAAUGACACUAUACAGAUGCCAAAACUUUGUGCGUAAGGAUAUAAAAGAAUGAAAACAGGUCACUCAUAUAAAAAUACCGAAAUCUUUUUUCUAUAAUUCAAUCGUCCAAUCUGAUCAAAGCCAGCCAGUAUCAUCUGAAAGUCUUGGAGAAUGCAUGUAACUCGCAGUAACAUUUCACAUUAAAUUAACAUUUUAAAAUCUUUUAUGUAUCCUUCUUUUGUUUCUGAUUUCUCCUUAUUUAAAAUUCCUGCUAUCGAUUUCAACUUCUUGUAAUCCAAAAGCAACAAGGAAACAUGGACAAACUCAAGAAAAAAUAAAAUUCAGAAUGAAAAGAUUAAAAUAUUUUAAUAUAAAAUAGAACCCGAUAUAAUUUCGGUUUAGAAAAACUUAAGACUAAAUUUGCAAAAGAUUAAAAUAAUCAAACAAGAAUAGAUUCAGUUUUUGGGUUUUCCGGAAUUUUAUCUGAAUUGUAAAGCACGAUUUGAUUUAUAAAAUUACUUGUAAUACUUACUCGGAUUUAACCUGUCAGAAGCUGAUUGGAAAGAAAAUUAGCUGUACAACUGUUGUAAAUAAAUAUAGCUCUCGGAGGUCUCAUCUUUUGGAUUUCACUGCAGCAGUAAAAUGUUUCUCGUCUUCUCUUCUAGUUGAGAAGCAGGAAAAAAUAAUAGCUCUGUUAAAUCCAGAUACAUCAAUACUACAUUAUGAGCAUUGUGUUUCUGAAGCAACAUCAGUGAAGAAAGCAACUUAUGAGAGCAUAAAAACAAUAAUUAUAGCACUAAUAAAUCAUCCUGUGCAAAAACAAAUACGAAAACCAAAAUGUAUAGGCAAGUGCUUAAUCUGGCAUCAUCAGUCCUCUAGCCUUCCUCUGAUUUUUUUCGGGCAUGACGUAGAACACCACCACAUUAUUACACGACUCUUUGGACCCAACCUAACUCUCUGCAUUUGUUGCUGGUAGAUGAUGUAAAACAGCUAGGAUGCCACGCAUUCAGCACCACCUUCUGUCUGCCGUUCACUUACAUAGAAAUACCCAUAAUUUGUGGUGGCAGCAGCUGCAUUGACCAAAUAUAACAUGCCUCCAUCAGCCAUGCCACUGAGUUGCUGAUAAGCAAAAUUACAUGUCUCCUAAACUCCUGCCUAAAUUUAGGCUUCCAGGAGCACAAAAGGCUAUACACCAGAAGUGCUUAUCUGCAAGAUGUGAGCAAGUCCACUCAGAAAAUGCAUGGUUAAAAGAUUGUUUCAAGCACUUAGAAACAUAAGGCAUAGCUUAAUAUGACCUUUUGUUUCAUAUUUUAUCCUAAAGUUGCAUAAUGCUCAUUCCUGUCAAAAAUCUCUGUCAACAGGUACGAUCUUCACUAACUUGGCGAGGUCAUAUGAUUUGAACUCUUCGCCAUAACAUAAGCAAAGAUCCAUGGGUGUCAUUCCAUCCUGAAUAUAUCAUGCCACAAUAUCAGUUUGCCAACCAUAAUUUCGCAGUCAUAUACUAAGUUAUCAGCAUUUACCUUAUUCCUUCUGUUCUCAUCUGCACCAUUCACUAACAGAAUUUUAACAUCUCUUUUUCCAGUUUGCACUGCAACGUGCAAUGGAGUCCAACCUUCUUCUAAGAAUGUUUGAAAAUAUUGUGAGACUCAACAUGCAGAAAAUAAGAAAUAGCAAAAUAUAUGAUAUAGAAUAAGUGCUACAGACAAAAUUCACCUUAUCCACACUGUCAAUAUCAAGUCCAUCUGCUAGCAACUUAUCCAUAAAUCGUAUCUGUCCUGAUAAUGCAAGCGUCUGGAGCGGCUUGCAUUUUUCCUGAAUAAUGGAGGUAUAAGAACAUGGCACGACGGUAGUGCCUUAUCCACAACUAGUAAGCUCUAGAAAAUAGUAACUGACUAAAAUUUCCACAAUCAAGCUCCUUCUAAUAAAUACCUCAAAAUGGAAUGACAACUUUUGAACUCCUCCACCAAUGAAAAAGAAAGAAUUCAUAUAACAGAUGAAGAAGCUCUUUAAAUUUUCCUAACUUACUGUUGAUAGUUUGUCCAGGUUAUAAGUUGCAUUCUGUUGUAAAAUUGGUCUUUCUUCUGAUCCCACAAGCUGUCCAAUUUCUGCAAAAAAUUUAUCAUCAGCCUUUUUUCCCAGAAUAAUUAUAUAGGUAGAAAGGGUUGCAAGUUGAAAUUCAAGAACAAGAGUAAACUAAAUGCAUUUCAGAAUGGGAAAAAACCAACCAACAAGAGAUCACUUGGGUUAGUUGGUUCUCUUUUCUAAUCAGCCUAAUUAAAUUCCAUAUUAGAAAGGCUCAAAGACAAAGUCAAUCUGACCCUACAAGAAGAAAUGGGCAUUAACAAUUGUGCAGAAGAAGGGCAUUUUAGACUCCGUGGGCAUCUUCCUGCCGAAAAGAUAUGCAACCAUCAAGUCACAUCAACAAAUGUGUGCCAUAUUUGAGGAACAUUGUACAGCCAGCCACCCCUCCCCUUUCUUCCCUUUUGUCUAAACUUCAUGCUCGUAGAAUUUUCCAUGUGACCAGCCAAGCACCCAACAUUGCUCUCCACAGUCACAAAUUCAUGAAGUUAUAGAUUGCAUGAUUCUUCCGAAACUUAUAGCAAACUAUUGAUUAUUAACAAAACAAUUAAAAAGCAAAACAGUAAGAAAAACUGUCAAUAAUUGUAUUUUCUGAUUUAAUUUGGCCUGGUUCAAUGGAGACUUUCUUUGGAUACUGAAAUCCCAAACAGAGCUGUGGUCAUUUCAAUUCUUUCCCAACUCAUGCCUUCAAGACAGAUCUGUAACCUUAUAAACAAAGGACAUGAAGGUUUUUACUUCGGUGUCUCAUGAAACAAUCAUGACCCUCGUUUUGUUGGUUCGCUUUUCUAAUCAGCCUACUUAAACUUCAUAUUAGAAGGGCUCAGAGACAAGCUCACUUUGAUUUAUCCCAGAAGAAGAAAUGGAGACUAAAAAUUGUGCAGAAGAAGCGCAUUUUAGACUAUGUGGGAAUCUUGUACAGCCAUCCCCUUUUUUUCCCUUUCGUCUAAACUUCAUGCUCAUCACACUUUCCAUGUGACCAAUCAUGCACCCGACAUUUUUACCCACAGUUACAAAUUCAUGAAGUUAUUGAUUGCAUGAUGCUUGAGAAACUUGUGGUGAUUAAGAACAAAACAAUUAAAAAGGAAAAAAAAAAAAAAGAAGCCCAGCUAAUAAAUGUAUUUUCUGAUUUAAAUUGGCCUGGUUCCAUGAGAACUUUUUUUUGAAUAAUGAAAUCUCAAUCAGAGCUGUGGUUCUUUCAGUUCUUUCCCAGCUCAUGCCUUCACAAAUAGAUUUGAAACCUUGUAAACACAGAACAUGAUUGUUUUUACUUCCGAGUCUCAUAAAACUUUCAAUUUUUAAAUGAAUCAAGACCAGGUAAAAUGUGAUUCAUCCAAGGUCAUUAAAAAAAAUGGCAUCUUUUGUAGCAUGCCUUUAACUUUUACUCAACAAACAAGAAACAUAUCAACUAUCACUAUUAAUCAUAUAUAUGAAAUGCAUUUAAAUGGAUAAUCUUUUUUUCAGUAAAAUGUUGUGUUUGAUACAAUCAGUAAUUUGAAAUAAUGCUUCCUCGAUGUAUCAUUCAAGAAAAAAAUUAUUGAUUGCUUAAGCUUAUUUUAGGCAUCAAUGACCAAGAAACAGGAAUACAUACAGAUUUAUAAAACCCAUAGUAAAAGGAGGGCCUUUUUUCUUAAAUUAAAGCUUUGCCUGUGGAAUUCUUAUCCUAAAAUUUCUGACUUCCCAGCCACCUUCUUCCUUAAUCAGAAGCAUAUUAUUUAUGCAGACCUAAUUAAGCUUCAACAGAGAAUGAAUGAUAAAAUUGGCAGCAGAGUCCUUAUUUCAGUGUUUUAGAAGGCUAGAAGGAGCUAGAAAUGCUUCAGCAUGAAUAUUGAAAUGUUCUUACCACUAAUCAUAAGCCUCAGAAACCACCUUUCAUAUCAAGUUUAACUAUAUUUCUGACAUGUUAUAAUGACAUAAAACGUUAAAAGAAAUUAGUUCCUUUCUCAGCAUAUUUACCAUAAAUAUCAUAAUGAUAUUCAAUUCAUGUUCUUUUUCUUCCCCUCCUUUUUACGAUGAAUAAUUCAAGAAAAAUGCAGAAAAACGAAAAAGGAACAAAGGAUAAAAGGGAGAGACCUUUAGCUAGAUCCUCAUAACUGUUUGAUGUGGAGCUUCGAACUGUCAUCGCAGUAGUAAAUGCAAAAAAUGUGUCUUCUUCCGAAUCCUCAUCAUAAUUGUUCCAUGUGGAAUUAUCAACUAUCCUAGUAGUAGAUUUAGCAUAUGUUUCUUCCUCCUAAUCUCUCUCAUAAUCCAUGUCAUUUUCUUCCAAUUCCUCAACUUCUUCAUCAUAAUCACUGCCAAUACCGUCAUCAGAAUCUUCCCAAACCCCGGCACUCUUUCUGAGGGCUCAAGCCAUUUUGAUUCAACCCGACAAGUAGUCAGUUUUCUGCAUUUAUCAGCAAGAAGAAAUCCAAAACUUCCAGUCGUAAAGCUAGUCAAUGCUCUGAAAAGAUUGGUACCAAUACUUGAUCUCGGAGUAGCAGCGAAUCGUGGAAAUGGACGAUUGAAAGGAGAAGCGGUAGUCACUCCGGUCACCAAUAUGUUCCACUUCUCUACUUAAAGAGCAACUAACACAAAACUUCAACUUAUGAAACAGAAACUAACAGUGAUAGAAAGAAAUACAUUAAUUAUUAUACAAAAUAGUUAUCGCAUAAUCAAUGUGUAAAAGGUGAAAGGUUCUGUGCUUUUAUAUCUUCUUGCGAUUCACAGAGAGAUAUAACAAAGAAAUUAUAAGUAAUAAAACAUAAUUAUCAAAUAUAAAGCGCAGAAAAAGCUGCGGUAUUUUGUGGGUUUACGGAAACACAUCAAAAUCGGACGACUACAUUCUAGCGCCAAGUAUCAUAACUGUAUAGUAGUGAUGAAAGACUGAAGAAACCAAAAACCCAUUAAAUAAGUGGCUACUAGGUGCUCAUUUCAAUUGAUAGAAGCAAUACGGGCCAAACAUAACAGCAAUUAACAGACAUGAAACUAGAAAAAGAAGAUGCAAACAGCUACCGAAUAAACCAUAUAAAAAGAAGAAAAUAGAAAAAGAAAAACACAAGCUUAGAGACUAAAAAAUACGGGUCUGCUACGUUUUUUGAAGAAGAAACGAAUUGAAGAUAUUAACCAGAGAAGGAGGAGGAGAAUUGCAUUAUCAUUAAUAAUACCUCAGCGGCAACAACGCCUAAUCAAAUAUCGAAUUGCUACGACAACAUUUUGUAUGUCUGUAAAACGCAAAUUACCCGCCAGAUAUGGCAACCCGGGCAUUGCUCUCCAAAAUAGCCUGGCUUGUGGCUUCAUUCUUUUGCUUCUUAGCAUGUCCAAUGGGCUACAAAUGAGUCCAAAAAAAUCUGCUCUAGCAUUUUGUUAAUAUUAUUAAUUUUAAUAUAUUCUGUUAAAAAAAGUAUAUUAAUAUAUAAUAUAAUGAUAGUAAUGAAAUUUUAUUCAUCAAUCAAGAUAAUGAACAAAACAUGAAGCCUCUGGAAGAAUGGGGAAUGUGGUAACCGACUAUGAGUCAUCAGAGGCAAAGUGACUGGAACUCUCCCCAUUUCUCUGAAUGCCCAUAUUCCUCCACGCGUACUUGUUAUAUAUACACAGGCUAGUCUUGUCUCGGACAAGAAACCAAAACUGAACAUUGAACUCUUUGCAGCAAGCGUAUUUCUUCUAUUUGCAACUCUUUAGUCUUAAAACCCUUAUCCAAAAACAGACAGCAACUUCACUAACAAACAUCAGCAGACUACAANNNNNNNNNNNNNNNNNNNNNNNNNNNNNNNNNNNNNNNNNNNNNNNNNNNNNNNNNNNNNNNNNNNNNNNNNNNNNNNNNNNNNNNNNNNNNNNNNNNNNNNNNNNNNNNNNNNNNNNNNNNNNNNNNNNNNNNNNNNNNNNNNNNNNNNNNNNNNNNNNNNNNNNNNNNNNNNNNNNNNNNNNNNNNNNNNNNNNNNNNNNNNNNNNNNNNNNNNNNNNNNNNGAAGUCUGCUGACUGAUCUCUGGGCAGACCCAUUCAGAGUAUUAGAGCAGAUACCCUUUGGGAUUGACAGGGACGAUAAUGUGGCACUCUCACCAGCAAGAGUGGACUGGAAGGAAACUCCUGAAAGUCACAUGAUCAUGCUAGAUGUUCCAGGGUUGAAGAAGGAGGAGCUAAAGAUUGAAUUGCUGGAGAACAGGGUGUUAAGGGUGAGUGGAGAGAGGAAGAAAGAGGAAGAGAAGAAAGGGGAUCAAUGGCACAGGGUGGAGAGAUCGUAUGGCAAAUUCUGGAGACAGUUUAGGUUGCCAGACAAUGUGGAUUUGGACUCUGUCAAGGCGAAGCUUGAGAAUGGUGUUCUUACCUUAUCUUUAAACAAAUUGUCUCCUGAUAAGAUCAAGGGUCCUAGGGUUGUUAGCAUUGCAGGAGAAGAAGAGAAACCUGAACCAGUCAAGCUCAACAAUAAUGAUGCCAAACAAGAGCUGUGAAUCUUUUCCCAUGUGGAGAGCUGUUUACAAUACAUAAAAAGAGAUCCGUCACCUUGUUUCAGAGAGAAUAAGGGUUGUCAUCAGAUCUCGUAAAUUGUAUUCCGCUUGUGCUGCAGUGUGUUGUCGAUGAAAUAUUUUCAUAAUCUAAAAUAAGCUUCAUUUAUCAUUCUCUCAAUGGCAUGUUUAAUUUCUGUAGCUUCUAACUUCUACAUGUUUGCCUAGCAAAUGUUGAGCUAUGAUCAGGAUCCACAAACAACGAGAAAAGUCUCAUCUCCGAAACUUCAUAUAGGAUGUUCAUUAUUUUUUCCAUCCUGAUAGGCUCAGUACAUCUGAUGUGGUGAUUAAGCUACAAAAAAGCAGAGGACUGGGGGUCUAGGAUUCUACUUCUAGUGAACAGCAUCAGCAGGGUCUUAACUAUCAAACAGAAUUAAAGGGCAUCAACCAAAAGGACUGAAUUUUGGAAACAGUAUUUCAUGAUCAAAAGACCCUGUUCGUGUCUGUAAUGAUUCAUUUGAGAGAUUACGUAAUCCCUAUUUUACCAGGUCAAUGGCUGGAUAUGUCCAUUUGUGAAAGUAGUGCAGGCAAGUGCUUAAUCUGACAUCAUCAAUCCUCUAGCCUUCCUACGUUUUUUUCUGGCAUGCCUAGAACACCACCACAUGUCAUGCACUACACGACUCCUUGGACCCAAGUCUGUGCAUUUGUUGCUGCUGGAAGAUGUACAUUGCUAGGAUGCCAUGAAUUCAACACCACCUACUGUCAGUUGUUCACAGAACAUAAAUGACCUUAAUGUGUGGUGGCAGCAGCUGCAUUGACCAAAUAUAAGUUCCAAUUUUAGAAUGAAUUAAGACCAGGUGAAAUGUGAUUCAUCCAAGGUCAUUAAGAAAAGAUGGCAUCUUUUGUAGCAUGCCUUUUAACUUUUACUCAACAAACAAGAAACAUAUCAACUAUCACUAUUAAUCGUAUAUAUGUCAUUUAAAUGGAUAAUCUUUUUUUCAGUAAAAAGUUGUUUUUGAGACGAUCAAUAAUUUGAAAUAAUGCUUCCU